AUAAAGGGCCGGUCACAGGAACAUCUGAACGCAUGGGGGAAUUGAGUCAAUAAAGAUCCAUGUCGAUGAAAAUGGAAUCUCAGCCAGCAUCUCCGGGAUUUGGAGCGUCACUGCAACUGAAGGACUGCAUAGAAGAGCUGCUGAGAUUCACACUUGUUUCCUCCAUUGACGGCACUUUUGAAAUUGACUUAGAUCUCUCUAAAGACUACUGCUCCACCCUCUUACAAGAAGAUCCCUCCGACUUUUUUCCCAAUUGUACUGGUCCUUCUGAAGGAGUUCCGUUAUAUCCUUUAUACAAGCGCCUUGCAGCAUCCUUAUUUGAAGCUUUUUCUUCUGAAGCCUUGCCAAGGACAGAAAACAAACUUG
rnacentral:misc_RNA from 1 species